rnacentral:snoRNA from 1 species
CACCUCUCAGGGUUACACCUGGAGAGUUUCCAGUACUCUCCCAGUCUCGACUAUGGGAGGGAGAAUCAAGCAGAGGUCUAUCUAUUCUAUUCCUAGCUUGGGCAGUGGCUAGUGAGUGGCAGGCAAUCUGCUACAAGU